rnacentral:rRNA from 1 species
UACGGAGGGUGCGAGCGUUAAUCGGAAUGACUGGGCGUAAAGGGUGCGUAGGUGGUUUAUUAAGUUGUUGGUGAAAUCUCCGGGCUUAACCUGGGGUUGACGAAUAAAACUGAUGAACUCGAGUAUAGGAGAGGGUAGUGGAAUUUCCGGUGUAGCGGUGAAAUGCGUAGAGAUCGGAAGGAACACCAGUUGCGAAGGCGGCUACCUGGCCUGGUACUGACACUGAGGCACGAAAGCGUGGGGAGCAAACAGG